ensembl:lncRNA
AGAAGUAUGCAUUUAAAUCAGUCAUUUAAUCAAAUCAAAUUUGAUUAUUGGUCACAUUUAAGUAUAAACAGAUAUGAAAGAACGUCCUUGGCUCACACUGGAUGUGCAUGAAGUGUUCUGAAGUCUGCCACAUAUAAAAUAACACAUUUAUGCUUUUCACCUGUCUCUUGGUGUGAUUUCCUGCUGUCUCGACGUAAAGACAAACUUACACGUCUUUGUUUCAGAGGAUCUCCAACACCGUCUGGGUUUACAGCUGUGUCAUCCAGAAAACCACAGUUUGUGUCCCCAUCUGAGCUUUUAUUCUGCCCGUGAGUUUCGUUUUGAGUCGCUGUAACGGGACAUGUUAUGUCCCGUGUGCUUUUUUGUGCUUUUUUUAAACUUAAUGUUUUGGGGUUGUUUCACCAGCUAUUUAUUUCCGCUUUCAGAGUUAGUCAUUUGAGCUGUUUGCAAAGGUCGAGGCAUGUAAGGGCUUAGAAACGUGACAAUGAAAACAAAUGUUGACUUUUCAGAUUAAAGAUAUUUUCACUUGGAUUAUUCCACCAGGCUACUCUCACAGUGGUACAUCCCAUCUUCCCAAUAUAGAAAAGUUACGAGUUUUCUGAGAAAUUUUGUUGAAAUGUCCCUAAUUUAUGGUUGACCAUAAAACGACAAUGAUGCAUUGUCAAGAGAUGUAUUCUAUGACACUUCUUCAGCUGAGAAUCAAAGAGGAGAAACACACACACGCUGCAGUUUUUACUUGUAAGAGCAGUCACAGAGAACUCACACGAGAGUGGGGGCCUUGUGAAGUGCGCUCUGCUCCUGCUCUGAUCUUUAUUUAUACAACAGUAGGUGCAUUUGUUCAUGACAUUGGAAUGUGGAUGUGUAUAUGUGUGUGUGUGUGCCAGGAGAGGCUUCUCUUCCUGGUACGAAGUGAAACUGCUUGCUCAGUUCUUAUCUAUCACUAGCAGGAACUGCUCCUUCCCUGCAUGAUAACGGGUCACAGAAAAAAACAACAGUCUGAGUCAUAAAGCGGUCAUCAUGCAGUAUUCUAUCUUUCGCAGACUUAUAUUAUUAAAAGAUUAUACUGACUACUAAGUACAAUUUUCUAUUGACAUGCAUAUUAAGUAGAAAAUCUUGAAUGAAUAAAUGAAUGGAGUGACUGAGCAGAUGGGCUGAGUGGUCCUCUCCAUUACAGAUGUGAUCCAGACCAGUUGGAGACAGAAUAUCAUACAAUUUAAAAAAAAGAAAAACAACACCAACAAAACAAACAAAAACAAAAUUCUAAACUUUUAAUAUUGAUUUAAUAAAAUGAAUAAACCUGUCAUUUUAAUGCAAAGCUGCCUCUUGUUAUUUACAUUUUAGAAUCCUAAUGUUUAUUGGUAAGGUUAAAAAGGUUACAAAUAUCUGAAAAAACAUCAUCACAACAUUCAUCUUGGCCAUACAUAAAGAAUAACAAUAGUUUAAAGUUUUAUUAGUAAUUUGCUGUGUAUCAGCAGAAAUACCACUGAAGUCUUACUUCCCCUUAGCAGUGACCUCGCUGCUGUUUCAGUAUUGCGUUAGGGUGCAAAUAUGAUCAAGAAUCAAUGUCAGACUUCAACAUAUAUAUUCAGUUAAAUUCAGUGAUGGGAAUAACAGUGUUACCUUUUUCAGUAACAAGUAAUCUAACUAAUUACUAUUUCUAUCGUUACAACGCCAUUACCGUUACUAACAAGAAACUCGACCACUUCAAGAUGACACAGCAACAAGGUGCUAUAUACCAUUUUUUAAAUUGUGUUGAUAGGCCACGUAAAACCAGAGUCAUGAUAAACAAUAUAAUACGUGGUGUUUUUUCCUGAAUACUUUUGUCAUGUUUACUGUCCAAGGGCAGCACUAGCAAGCACUCUCUGCUUAUGGCCAAAAAUAAAAACAUAAAACAAAACAAAAGACACCCCUUUCAUGUUGGUGGAAAAAUGUACCAUGUCCACCAAUCAAAAAAUGAUAUGGCAACAUGACAUUUGGUCGAGAGAGAAAGAGCGAAAAGAAAGAGAGAGAGCGACUUUUGAGAUGUCUUGUGUAGUUAGUGUGUAGUGUAGUGGAUAGUUUUGUGUGUCAGAACAAUGAGGCGACUGCUGAAUGUUACAGGUGCUGCUAGAAAGCCACCAAAGGCAGAUUACAGUGUAAACGGUGUCUCCAGGUAGAAAACAGGAGGAGUGAUACACCUGUUGCUGCCAGACCUGCAGGCUGUGAUGUUCUCCUUUAUAGUCGACAGAAAUUCUUUUUUGGAGUGGCACAAAUAAUUUGUGUGGCAUCUUAUUUAAUGCAGAAUACCUGAUUGUUAUGUAAAUAGUUUGAAAUGGCUGCAAAUAACUUUGUUUGCAAAACUUGUGCAUAGG